rnacentral:other from 2 species
UACCCCCUGCGGUGUUCGAGAAGGCUCCCAAAUUCCUUUGUACCAAUGCGUUCGCUACGGUUGCUAGCCAUGGUUGCAGGUGUGCCGCGUCCCUUAGCCGGAUGUGCCCGAAGCAACGGGCGGGCGACCACCCUGGAAACAGGGUACAAGCGAAUUUUGCCGGAUCGACACUCGCGGGGGACUC